GUGGCCGGAACGACUGGGUGAUCUCGCUUUCCGUAGCAGAAACGACUGGGUGAUCUCGCUCUCCAUAGCAGAAACGACUGGGUGAACUCGCACUCCGUAGGCCGCUGGGCCAGGAUGUGUACUUAGUGCAUGUGCUGACCAGCUGGCAAGUGUCUUUACUGACAUCUCUGACCCAGUCUGUAAUACCAGCUUGUUUCAAGCAGACCACAAUAGUCCUCUUGCCCAAGAACACCAAGGUAACCUACCUAAAUGACUAUUGCCCACGUAGCACUCACAGCUAUAGCCAUGAAAUACGUUGAAAGGCUGGUUUGACUCACAUCAAAACCAUCAUCCCAGACACCUCCAAUUCACAUACCGCCCCAACAGAUCCACAGAUGACGCAAUCUCUAUUGCAUUCCACACAACCCUCACCCACCUGGACAAAAGUAAUACCUAUGUAAGAAUGCUGUUCAUUGAUUACAGCUCAGCAUUCAACACCAUAGUCCCCUCCAAGCUCAUCAUCAAGCUCUGGACCUUGGGACGGAACAUCGACCCCUGCUACUGGAUCCUGGACUUCCUGACGGGCUGCCCUCAGGCAGUGAGGGUAGGCAACAACACAUCUGCAACACUGACCAUCAACACGGGGGUCCCUCAAGGGUGUGUGCUUAGUCCCCUCCUGUACUCCCUGUUCACACACAACUGUGUGGUCCCACAUGACUCCAACACCAUCAUCAAGUUUGCUGACGAAACGACGGUGGUAGGACUAAUCAACAACGACGAUGAGGCAGCCUUCAGUGAGAAGGUCAGAGACCUGGCAGUGUGGUGCCAGGACAACAACAUCUACCUCAACGUCAGCAAGACAAAGGAGCUCAUCGUAGACUACAGGAAACAGAGGAGCAAGCACGCACCCAUCCACAUCGAUGGGGCUGUAGUGGAGUGGGUCGAGAACGGUCAAGUUCCUCUGUGUUUACAUCACUAAGGAAUUAACAUGGUCUAAACACACCCACACCGUUGUGAAGAAGGAACAACAGCGCCUCUCCCCCCUCAGGAGGCUGAAAAGAUUUGGCAUGGGCUCUCAGAUCCUCAAAAAGUUCUACAGCAGCACCAUUGAUAGCAUCUUGACUAGCUGCAUCACCGCUUGGCACGGCAACUGCAAGGCACCGGACCGCAAGGCGCUACAGAGGGUGGUGAGUACGGCCCAGUACAUCACUAGGGGCAAGCUCCCUGCCCUUCAGGACCUCUACACCAGGCGGAGUCAGAGGAAAGCUAAAAAAAAUUGUCAGACUCCAGCCAUCCUAUCCAUAGACUUUUCUCUGCUACUGCAUAGCAAGUGUCACCAGUGCACCAAGACUGGAACCAACAGGACCCUGAACAUAAGACUGCUAAAUAGCUAAUCAAAAGGCUACCCAGACUACCUGAAUUUACCCUUUUUGAACUAACUAUCUUGCACUGACACACACUGGACAUUACAUAUACUUACACUGGCACCCCAACACACACUCUAAAUAUGCCCACACACAUAACAUGCAUACUGAUGCCACACUCACCACAUACGCUGCUGCUACUGCUUCACAUACGCUGCUGCUACAGCUCAGCCUAUUAUCUAUCCUGUUGCCUAGUCACUUUACCCUUACCUAUGUGUACAUAGCUACCUCAAUUUCCUGGUACCCCUGCACAUCGACUCGGUACUGGUACUCCCGGUAUAUAGUCAUGUUAUUUGUACUUGCUAUUCACUGUGUAUUCAUACCUUGUGUCACUAUUUCUAGUAAAAAAAAAAUAUCUUUAACGGGGGCGACAGGUAGCCUAGUGGUUAGAGCAUUGGGCCAGUAACCGAAAGGUUGCUAGAACGAAAUCCCUGAGCUGACAAGGUACAAAUCUGUCGUUCUGCGCCUGAACAAGGCAGUUAACCCACUCUUCUUAGGCCAUCAUUGUAAUCAAAAAAUUAACUGCAUUGUUGGAAAAAGACCCUUACGUAAGCAUUUCACUGUUAGUCUAAACCUGUUGUUUACAAAGCAUGUGACAAAGAACCUUUGAUUUGAAGCAGUGUUUUGUUAUGAUUAUGAACGGUCCGAUAGCUAGCAACAAUGACAAGAAGCCGACGUGGGGAAUCAUAGGUGGCUCAUUUCAGCUAGUUGUGUCUUGUUUUGAGGUGUUUUAACUUAUUUCAUGUCAAUGUUAAUAUGGCUCAAAUUCACCAGCUAGCUAACCAACAACUGUAACAAUGUAUUUUGAGAGACAAUAAGUGCUCAUUGUGAAAAUGUAUUUGUUUUCAAUAAACAUUUGGUGACGAAAUAAAGUUUACCCUGUCUGUUUUGCC
rnacentral:lncRNA from 1 species